AAAGGAAUGCAUUCGCAAUCCAAAGAAGAGAAGCAUCUAAAUGCUUCCUACACAGUUACAGUUUCUUACUCAGAUCUUGUUACAAGUGGUGAAAGUGAAGAUUCAGAUCUUCCAAGUUCCAAUUACAGCGAACGUUUUCCCUUGGUCGCCCUCUCUUCUUGAUAAUAAGGAGUUUAUGCAAUGAAAACUGCUAAGACUCUACAUGGAUAAAUGGGUAAAGUGAUUCUUAUAUGACUUGAACAAUAUUCCCCCUAAAAGUGCCUUUUAGGAUUGGAAAUAGGCCAUGUCCAUUUUAACUAACAUCAUGGAACAGAUUCUCACAUUGGAUUUGCACAUGUACUGAUAUCGGAAUAAUAAAUCAAGUAUGAAUUCUCAGCAUAAGAAAGAGACAGACAGCUAUCCUUUUAUUAGACAAGAAUUGCACAUUGAACCAGGUAAAAGAAGGCACAACGAUUCGGUCGUUUGUGUUGAGUAAAAGAAUUUAUAGAGCAGAGUUACCACCUACCCUGCAGUUGCUUCUAUAACUAGUCAGACUUCUUCAAUAGACUCAAUAGCACACCUGCACUAAGACUCGUUGCUACAAAACCAAGAGAGACCUCAGUUGAUACAUGAAUCCCAAAGAAAUCCAGGAUCAUCUUACAACCAAUGAAGCCUAGAACAACAGCAAUCGAAGGCUGAGAAAGGGGAAGAAAGCAAGCCAAAAAGGUCAAUUGUAAAUUUACAAUUCUCAGUAUACAGUACUAAGCACAUCAACAUUAUUACUAGACGGAUGGUAAACAGAUCAACUGUUAUUCAACUUUGGAUCCAGUACUUAAACUCCAUUAAAACUACUUGAGACUUUAUCUUUUCUUAGUUAUUGUUGGAGUUCAAAUAAAGAAAAUGCCGUCACAUGCUUCCUGUCUUCUUCUGAUCUCUUACUUGGAUAAAUGCAUUUAGUCAUAUGUGUGAUUUGGCCACACCAACUUUUGAGAGGCUAUACUACACUUGGAUCCCAACACCAGAUAAUAGUGCAAGUAUCUGAUAAUAAUUACAAAUUGUGUAAUCAGUGUACAAGCACUAUUAUGAUAUCCAUUUUAUCAAUUGUAUAACACCUACAUUUAUAUUGAUUCAUUUCAUGAUGGUACAAGAAUAAGAAGUGCACCACGAUCACAAUGAUUCGGCUCAAACAUAAGAUUAUGAGGCAGAAGUCAUGCAACAAGAAUAGGAAAUUAAGGUAAAUUAAACCUUUUACCUGUAAAUACUCUAACUCUGCCAUACCUUCAGAAAUAAGCGUAUAAAGCGACCUUAAACCUACAUUCAAUAGAGAUGAGACCAAUUAGCCUCUAUUAAUAUUAAAUCCAACUCCACAACAAAUCUCUAUAAUGCAAUUGCAAAUACAUUUCUAACUCAAUUACAAAGUAGCUCAGAUGUAGAAUCAAAAUUGUAAAACAAAAGUAUUUUUAAAUUUAAUGAUGUGGAACCAAAAUGCAGGCCAAAAUUUAUAGUUCACAAGUUGGCACUGGCAGCCCAAAACCAAUUCCAAAUAUGCAAUUAACACCUUUGAGCCUAUGGUAAGGAUAAAACAAUAUUUACCUAAGAUGGCAAAGAGAUUAGAAGUAAAAACAAUGAAAGGAUCCCGCGUAACACCAAAGACAGCUGGUAUUGAAUCGAACUAAAAAACGAAGAAUGAAUCAAUGCUCUAUUAAAAAAAUCAAACGCAUAAAUUUAUGUACUUUUAUAAUUUAUAUACAUCACAUUGAUGAAGACGAGAAAACCUACAGCAAAUGCUAUAUCACUGAGCUCAAUAACUGCUACUGUGAGAAGCAAAGGUGUGGCCUGCAAUGCUGGUAUACUGGAUUUAUGAUGCAAUAAUAAUACUUAUAAAGGCCAGAGUAACAUGUUGAACAGUUAACAACGUCUGAUGAAUGGCUUACUUUCCACACACCAUCCUGAUUUGUUAUGAAACGAUUCCCAUCAUAAUUAGAUGUAACAGGGAUGUAUCUCCGGCAUGUCUUCACUACAAAGUUGUUGGAUAAGUCAGUGUCAUCAUCUUCACUGACAAAUAGCUAGAAUAAAGUAGAGAAGGUUAUAAUUCACCAUUUAAGCAAUCAAAACAGCAGAAAUAAUCACAUGCAAAAAUAAUAACAUUAACAAUAAUAACAAUAGCAGAAGCAGCAGUAAUUGCUGCUGAUAUGAACUGUCACAAAAUAAUAGAUUUAAGAACUAAAAAUGUUGGAAUAGGUAAAUCAAUCUCCCCAUCCCUUCUUUAUUUUGGGGUGGCAGCUUUGAAAGGCAAAUGAAGGUCGCAUCCAGGCUCAAGCUGCGACUUGAUACCUGUCUUUGCAGUGCAAUCCAACAAAACCAGCUCAAGUAAGUGGUUUACAUAUUCUUAAUCUUUUGAUGUGUCAUAUGAAAUCUAACUGCACAAACAUGUCAAAUGAAGGCCGCAUCCAGGCUCAAGCUGCAACUUGAUACCUUGAAAGAUGAGUACAAGAGUAUUACAGCCAGGAAUAAGUUGACAGCCUCAAACCUCUAUAAAAACAAGGCAGAAAAUUUUCAGAAAGUGCCGAAACAAACAGUAAAUAUUAAACAGAUAAAAUUAUGAACUCUCCUACCUGCAGAGUAGCUGUUCCAAGUAGUAUCAGUGACAAACGAAAGACGAUUGCACUGGCAAUACCAUAUGAAAGUACCCGAUUCUGAUACAUGAGUGGCACUUUAAAAUAUUUGAAAAUCAGUACAAAGACAAAUAGGUUGUCCACUGACAAACUUUGCUCCAAUAUAUACCUGAAAUAAUCAAUGAUGGUCAUUAUGGAGGAAACAGUGAAGCUUAAAAAUAAUUUCAGAAAAAAACUAGCAAAUUCAAUGCAGGAUUUCAGACAGACAAGCCAAAGACAAAACAAUAUGGAUAAUGAACCUAUUCUUGGAAAAACAAAUGCUGAAAUCUGGAACUAUGUGCAAUGUCAGACAGCCAGAGUGCCUACUCUUUUUGGUCAUAACCAUAAGACCUAAAGCCAUAGAUUAGGCGCCAAACUGGUGUAGUUUCUCAACUGAUUUUACCCAACAACGAACACAAAAAGAAACAAUGCUGGAGAGGGAGGAGGAGGGGGGGAGGAGGAGGGAACAACUUCAACACCUCAGCAGUCCACCAUACCGAUCAUAAAUUAUAGUAACUGUGUAUUUCCAGAGACAGAAAGCCUAUUUGGACUAACAAUGAAAAGAAACAGAAAGUGGACAAGGCUCAUAUUUAUAGCAAAAGACCACCCUAAACUUACUCUCUAAUUAGUUUGGGAAGCUAAUAUAUUCUCCUUGUUCUUUAAUGAAAAUGAAAAGUGGUUAACAAAAAGAAAUAUGUGGAAAUGCGAAACUAGAAGCUGCAAGAAAGCAUAAAUCCAGUCCAGUUGCAUAUAUGGAUAAAUUCUUCCAUAACAAUAUCAGGAAAUGAUGCCAAGUUAGAUUGCUUGAUAUAAAUAUAUAAACUUGCAAAUAAUAAUAGUACAACAACGUAAAUGAAGAAAGUUUCUCUGUGUUGACAAAAUACAUAUAUAAAAGAACACAAUUGAAGGAUAACUUUCACAGUGUAAAAUUCAGCAUACCCAGCAAAAAACUCUGAUGCUUUGCCAACUCCAUCUUUCAAACCAAUACCAAUGCCAAAUGCCACAGCAGUGCAAACCUAUGGAAUCAAUGAGCAUAAAGCAACAGUUUUAAUAGAGGUUGUAUAAUUUCCAUGGUCCUGAGUUUUCUCCCCUGAUUUUUUAUCCACAUAAAGGGAAGCUUCAUCAUUCGUCCGAGAACUGCCGCCCUCAGAUUCUGAGGUAGAUAAAUCAGCCUCCUGUUCAGCGCCUCUAGAACAAGCAAUUGGAUAAUAUUGAUCACGAAAUAUGUGAGUAACAGAAUAGGAGGGAGGGAAGUGAAUUCUGGUCCAUUUGAGAGCUUGAGCUGUCGCUGAGAAUGGCGGAACCCUAACAGAAUCGAAUUUAAGAGGAGUAUGAAAACCAUUGUGGAUGACGGAAGCCAGUCCCAUAGAUUUGAGGAAUGAGAAAUGAGAUUUGUGUAGGAGUAAAUGAAAAUUCGAAGAAGGAAGAUGGAAGGAAAGCGAGAGGCUUUAAUCUUAUCCUAAGAGCUCUGGUUCGACGAGUAGCAGUUUACAGUCGCAGACCAACUAUAGCGCUCGUAAUUUUUU
rnacentral:misc_RNA from 1 species